rnacentral:rRNA from 1 species
AGUGAACGCUGGCGGUAGGCCUAACACAUGCAAGUCGAACGGCAGCACAGUAAGAGCUUGCUCUUACGGGUGGCGAGUGGCGGACGGGUGAGGAAUACAUCGGAAUCUACUUUUUCGUGGGGGAUAACGUAGGGAAACUUACGCUAAUACCGCAUACGACCUACGGGUGAAAGCAGGGGAUCUUCGGACCUUGCGCGAUUGAAUGAGCCGAUGUCAGAUUAGCUAGUUGGCGGGGUAAAGGCCCACCAAGGCGACGAUCCGUAGCUGGUCUGAGAGGAUGAUCAGCCACACUGGAACUGAGACACGGUCCAGACUCCUACGGGAGGCAGCAGUGGGGAAUAUUGGACAAUGGGCGCAAGCCUGAUCCAGCCAUACCGCGUGGGUGAAGAAGGCCUUCGGGUUGUAAAGCCCUUUUGUUGGGAAAGAAAAGCAGCAGGUUAAUACCCCGCUGUUCGGACGGUACCCAAAGAAUAAGCACCGGCUAACUUCGU